CCACAUUCCAUUUUCCCACUCCUCUGUUCGUGGACGGGGCCUAGUGUCUCUGAGUCAUGUUUACUGAGGCAGCGCUGAGUGCAUCCUUCCGGAACAGGCAAGCCCGUUUGCCUGCCACCUUGUUGACUCCGCAGUCCCUUACUGGGCCUGUGCAUCGAGCCAAGCACUAUGCUAGACUCUGAAUCUGAGUCUGAGGCCCCAGUUCUGGCCCUGUCCUGGAAGGAAGGGAGUAAGAAAAGAAAGAGCAGGGAUCCUGAGAGCAGCCAAGCGAUCCUGAGAGCAGCCAAGCGGGAUGCUGUUGAGAUGGG
rnacentral:lncRNA from 10 species